UGACUACGGUCACCCCCGAGACAUCCUCCCCUCCCCCCGAAAAUGCCUCCGAUGUUGAUUCUGACGCCACAAUUUGUCCCCCUUACAGGAGAAAAUCCAAGAAACCUUGCAAGAUCUUAGCGCAAAGCUUCCAGGAGCCGCGUUUGCAGAGAAGAGGAGUGGCACACGGGUUUACCGUGUCUGAAAUGACACACAGGACUUGGUUCUCCUGUCUCAUUCAGAACCGCUGUGGGCAGCUGGAACAGGUGCUUACAGAGAGAAGGCACCUACAGAAGACACUGACGGAAGCGUGAUCAUUGCCGGCAACCACAGCAUCCCUCUGGCAUAUAGGGUGCUGAGGAUCAAACUUGGCACCUCACAUGCAGGCCCAGCACCCUUCCCGUUGAGUCACCUCCCAGAUCCCAUGUAGCCUUGUUUCCAACGGUCCUGACAGCAGAUUCAAAGUUAGUCACGGUAACAAUGAAAACUGGGAUGACUGGACAUCUUCACGAACAGGUGACAAGUUUGAUCAUCUUUUUCACAUCACCCUCACCCUUAUCACUGGAACUUGACUACUCCAAGAUGACUUUCUCAGACAGAAACAGAGAGACAAAGAGGCGGAUAAAAAGGGCGGAAGAGGCCAUGGCACUGAAGCUUCCUCCUCUGUGGUGGGAACCAGAGUUGAACCUCGACUGUGCACAUGCCAAACUAGCAUACUAUCCAAGUGAAUUAUUUUUCUGGCCCACAAAUUAAAUUUCUGCGUAUCAGAUAAUACUUUGCUUCUGUACAAAUGAGGAACCACCUUUAAGAUUGUGUGUGUGUGUGUGUAUCUUGUUAUGAUAACAGGGAGCAUUUAAAAUAAUUUUAUUAUCUUUAUGAGAGAAAGACACAGAGUCCCACUCAGCUUUGGCAUAUUCAGUGCUCGGGAUCUAACUUAGGGCCUCAGGCUGGAGCAUCCUGUGCUCUACUGCUGAGCUCUAUCCAUGGCCAGAUGUUCCCAUAAGACAUUCAUAUUUCCUUUCUUGGUGACCUAUUUAAAUACUUUGUUUCUAUUGACUAUUACUGUAUUUCUGGAUAUGCCAAGGCUUAUAGAUAUAAAGGAAUACAUCUCUUUUUAUGCAUUACAUAUCAGUGAGGGCAAAACACACACACACACACACACACACACACACACACACGAAGAGAACAAGAGACUCUGGCAAGUUGCAGAGCCAGGAAAUAAACUGAUAUCUAAUGCUUGCAAGUCCUGUGCUCUGCCACUGAAUCAAAUCCAGACUACUAACAAGUAAGUCUUUUCAUGUGAUAUAAAUUGCAAAGUAGCUUUUGACUCUGCCAAUAAAGUUUUUGCUAGAUAUUUUGUCAUUUGAUUUAUGCCGUUAACCUAAUCUUUUCUUUAAUGACUUCUGAAUUUUGAAGCAUUCUUAGAAAGCUGUUCCUCCUCUCACAACCCAUUGGUUUUCUAUUAAUUGUGUAUUUGCAGAUAUCACUAAUUUCUUUUUGAUUUAAAUAUUUAGCUCAAUUGGCUUUAUUUUGCAUCAGAGGAAUGUGGGCUAGAUGUAAAUUUUCCCCAGUUGUUCUUGUACCAUGUAUUGAAACAAUCUAGCUUUCAUUCCCUGAUCCAAGUUGGUUGUAUUAUGUUUGAAGUCUUAUGAGAAAUGUGUUUUUUUAAUUUUUAGAAUAUUUUAGUAUUUAUUUUACUUUAUUUUAUUUUUUUACCAGAGCACCGUUCAGCUCUGGUUUAUGGUGGUGUGGGGGAUUGAACCUGGGACUUGAUGGAGCCUCAGGCUUGAACGCCUGUUUGCAUAACCAUUAUGCUAUCUACCCCUGCCCUAAUUUAGUAUUUCUAAUUAAAAAUAUUUUUAAAGAUUUAUUAUUUAUA